rnacentral:lncRNA from 1 species
AUUUAUAGAAAAGUGAUAAAUCAAGCACAAAAACGGAGAGUCAUAAGAAGUAAUGAAAUAUGCAGCACUUCUCUAGCCAACUCCUAGGUACGGCUUAAGCGGAACUAAAUUUUAAAAUAAUUUUAAAUGGAAUCAACAAUUUCAAUGGACCAGAAUGAAUACCAUGGGAAUUAAUUUAGAUCAUAGAACAACUCUGGCAGAUGCAACACAUACAAAAAUUUUGAAUGGAAUCAACAAUUUCAAUGGACCAGAAUGAAUACCAUGGGAAUUAAUUUAGAUCAUAGAACAACUCUGGCAGAUGCAACACAUACAGAAAUAGCGGGAACUAUUGUUAAAGCAGCCGAGCAACCCAUAAAUUAGCUGUGUCUUGUAAUGCAGUAUUUACUCGUCCACAAAAGUUAUAACUUUCUGUAAGCAACUGCAGUUUAGUUAACUGUGUAAUUGAUUGAUCUGACGUUUCUAUUCUGUUGCUUUUUUAUCUUUUAAAAUUCAAUAAUUGUUUUUCAAUGUUAUUAAUAUUUAACGAAACCUAGUUAUUAGAUUAGUCACUGUGACCUUUCCAUUAAGCCCUGUUUUUCUAUUAGUCUCGUUUUAUAACACUUUCUAUUCUAAAAACUGCUUGAUUAGCUCGGUAUACACAAGUUCUUGCUCAUAAAAAUGCGCUUACAAUUUACGUGUAAUUCAAAUCCUUAAUUAAUCUUGGAAUUGUAUUGCAAAUAAAAUCAAUUUCAAAAAUUUCCUCUGUUCAGUUUGUUGUUUAACCGUUUUCAAAAUACCACUUAAUCUUAUUCAAGCGAUUUUAUACGUUUAAGCUACCGUACACAUUAAAGUUAACUGCACCUUUAUUUCAGUCGGUGCCAUUCUUACACUAAAUUCAUUUGAAUUGUUAUACUUAUUAACCAUAUCCUACAAACUAUUUUAACAUGUGUAAGUAUUGUAUGCUUUAAAGUAUGUCAACAGUUUUCCUUUAAGACUCCUGUUAAAACUCUCUGUGAGUAUCGCUUUUUUUUCGUUAAAUGUCUGAAACAUAUUUAUUUUUUUCAAAUGCUUUGAAAGUUUUAUUAUAAAACUGUUUUACUUCACCCACCCAUAUAUUUUCAGUUUUUUUUCUUUUGAAACUAUUAUAUCAAUUUCAUCUGUAAUAGAUUCUCCAGUUUUAUUUUAAAUGGAAUAACACAAGCAUACUUAAACAUUUAUCACAGUUAGUAAGUACUUAAACAUUUCUUGUCCUUAAAAACGCUUGCAUGUAAACUACGAGUAGUAAAGUAAUUGUUUGUGCGAAAACAGUAUAACCCCAUUUGACCUUUUGACCCUUGGUCAGGACUGGUCAAUGCCGGCCAAUUUAAAAUCCACAGGUUUUGACAACUCAUUGUGAAAACCUUCGGUUUGAUGAACGUAAGUCCCUGGGAGCUUUUAACUUCCAUAAAGUACUGAGAAAAUACAUACUUAACUUUCAAAAUAUCUUAAAAAAGCCUUAAUAAAAACUUUACACCCGGACCGAAAAACAAUUUACAAAAUAGUUUUAGCCUCCGGUAAACAGAUAUUGGGUUUCCAUUAUAGUAUUUCGCAAUAUUGCAUCAGCCGGUUACGACUAGUUUUAUCAAUACACAUAACAUUCUUUACUGUUUUAAGUAUUAUAACGAAAAAAUUGGAAUUUAAACAACUGAAAUGUAUUCAAGAAUUCUACAAAGAUAUUAUUAGCCAGACGAAUUACAACGUGAAAAAUCCAAGACUUUAUAAAGACAACGAACGUUUAACACAAAAUAUAUCAUCGGAAGACUUCAAGAAAAGAAUGUUAA